CUGUUCAUUCCCCUAACAUCUUACCAAUAGCUGCUUCUCUGUUAACUCUUUCAGCCAUCACCUCCAAACUUCCCCUGCUACCUUUUGUCUCAAAUCCCCCUGGUAUCCUUUAGAUUGUAAGCUCAAGGGCCAUCUAGCUAAGCACUUUGUAUAAAAGAGCUCCAAUGGCUAGAUAUCAGCUUACGGGCAGGGCUCUCUUACCUCUUGUAUUUGUUUGUGUAUAUUGUACGUUUCUCAACUAAUUGUACAGCACUGCGGAAUCUGUGUGCGCUUUAUAAAUUG